rnacentral:rRNA from 1 species
GGGGAAUGGGACAACCCAACUAUCAUCAGAUAGUUAUUACUGUUAAUCAGUAAGGCAAACGGAGGGAACUGAAACAUCUUAGUACCUCUAGGAGAAGAAAAUAAUUAAAUGAUUCCCUUAGUAGUGGCGAGCGAACGGGGAAAAGCCCAAACCUAUUACGUAUAUUGCGUAAUAGGGGUAGUAGGACCACAAUAAAGGAAAAAGUCAAUCGAGAGGAAUAUUUUGGAAAGAAUAACAAUAUAAGGUGACAGUCCUGUACUCGAAGUGCGCCUUAUCCAAGUGUAAUCCUGAGUAAUAAGGAACACAUGUAA